rnacentral:rRNA from 1 species
AUGCUAAAAUUCACGGAAAAUUUCAGCAUGACCUUUGCUGAAAAUAGGACAUAUGGAGUACCCGAAUUUGCCGGAACGGAAGUUAAUCGACAUUCCAGCAAACUCAAGGGCCUCUCGGGUGGACAAGGCAAAGAAGGCCUCCAUCACAACAUGGAAAAUAUAUUGGCAUGUGAAGAGGUGAAACAAUAUAUGCAUCUCCAAGCAGUAUUAUUCAACAUUUUGGACAAACCACUACAAGCAAUACUGGAUCAGAUACAAGAAGAAUAUGAGAAAAUGCAGACAAAUACUAACAGAUUGAGGUGUUUAACUUGUGGUGCUCUCUGUGCUAUUAACAUUUCAAGUCAAAACCUUUUCUAG